ACAUGCAAGUCGAGGGGCAGCAUGGUCUUAGCUUGCUAAGGCUGAUGGCGACCGGCGCACGGGUGAGUAACACGUAUCCAACCUGCCGUCUACUCUUGGACAGCCUUCUGAAAGGAAGAUUAAUACAAGAUGGCAUCAUGAGUCCGCAUGUUCACAUGAUUAAAGGUAUUCCGGUAGACGAUGGGGAUGCGUUCCAUUAGAUAGUAGGCGGGGUAACGGCCCACCUAGUCUUCGAUGGAUAGGGGUUCUGAGAGGAAGGUCCCCCACAUUGGAACUGAGACACGGUCCAAACUCCUACGGGAGGCAGCAGUGAGGAAUAUUGGUCAAUGGGCGAGAGCCUGAACCAGCCAAGUAGCGUGAAGGAUGACUGCCCUAUGGGUUGUAAACUUCUUUUAUAAAGGAAUAAAGUCGGGUAUGGAUACCCGUUUGCAUGUACUUUAUGAAUAAGGAUCGGCUAACUCCGUGCCAGCAGCCGCGGUAAUACGGAGGAUUCGAGCGUUAUCCGGAUUUAUUGGGUUUAAAGGGAGCGUAGAUGGAUGUUUAAGUCAGUUGUGAAAGUUUGCGGCUCAACCGUAAAAUUGCAGUUGAUACUGGAUAUCUUGAGUGCAGUUGAGGCAGGCGGAAUUCGUGGUGUAGCGGUGAAAUGCUUAGAUAUCACGAAGAACUCCGAUUGCGAAGGCAGCCUGCUAAGCUGCAACUGACAUUGAGGCUCGAAAGUGUGGGUAUCAAACAGGAU
rnacentral:rRNA from 1 species